UCGAGAAUCUUCCACAAUGGACGAAAGUCUGAUGGAGCGACGCCGCGUGAUUGAUGAAGUCCUUUGGGACGUAAAGAUCUUUUAUGAGGGAAGAAGUUUAUUGACGGUACCUCAUGAAUAAGGGGCUCCUAAUCUCGUGCCAGCAGGAGCGGUAAUACGAGAGCCCCGAGCGUUAUCCGGAAUUAUUGGGCGUAAAGGGUGCGUAGGUGGCAUUGUUAGUCUCCCGUUAAAUCUCCGAGCUUAACUUGGAAACCGCGGGGGAAACGGCAAAGCUAGAGAGUGUGAGAGGUAUAUGGAACUCUAAGUGUAGGGGUGAAAUCCGUUGAUAUUUAGGGGAACACCAAAUGCGAAGGCAAUAUACUGGCACACAUCUGACACUCAAGCACGAAAGCGUGGGUAG
rnacentral:rRNA from 1 species